rnacentral:rRNA from 1 species
GAUUAACGCUGGCGGCGUGCAUAACACAUGCAAGUCGAACGAAGUGGCGGACGGGUGAGUAACGCGUGAGUAACCUGCCUUAGAGAAGGGGAUAGCCUUGGGAAACGAAGAAUAAUACCCUAUGCGCUAAGAUGGCCUUGCGUCUGAUUAGUUAGUUGGUGGGGUAACGGCCCACCAAGACAGCGAUCAGUAGCCGGCUUUGGGUAGUGUACGGCCACAUUGUGACUGAGACACGGCCCAGACUCUACGGGAGGCAGCAGUGGGGAAUUUUGCACAAUGGGGGAAACCCUGAUGCAGCGACGCCGCGUGAUUUAGAAGGCCUUCGGGUUGUAAAAAUCUUUUCUAUGGGAAGCAGUACCAUAGGAAUAAGGACCGGCUAAUUACGUGCCAGCAGCCGCGGUAAUUC